GUAUUUUUGGCAUGUGCGAUAAGAUAGUGAUGCCGAGCAGUGAUUGAUUCCGCAACGGGACUUUAAGUUAGGCCAGCAGUUUGGUGGGUGAGCUCCGAUGCGAAUGAAGUACGUGAUGAGGUCCAAAUUGGUUUCGGCGAUUGUGAUUGCCAUUCUGGUGGCGCUGAGCAGCUGUUCGGAAGCUGUGCGCGUGAUAUUUCGGAAUACGCGAAUGCUGGAUGAGAACAGUCACAGUACGGCGCAUAUUCUGAGAUCCAGUGGAAUAAGGCCAGUUUGCGGUGCAGGUCAAAUGUACGAUUCGCAUGGAAUGUGUCGUUCUGCAGUGUACUUCUGAAUGACAAAACGUUCUAUUCCCAGGACUGUGGAUCGAUCGUCGACGUAAUGAAUUACUGAAUCAUUUAAGUGUGAAACUUAUGCCUUUAGUUUGAUAAGUGUACCGUGAUGUGUAUUGUGCCAGUCAACCACUUGAGUUGUAAUGAAUGAUGUGCUUAAUGUUUAAUAAACCAAUCUGAACAGGAA